UACAGGGGGUGCAAACGUUGCUCGGAAUCAUUGGGCGUAAAGCGCGCGUAGGCGGUUACUCAAGUCGGAUGUGAAAGCCCUCGGCUUAACUGAGGAAGUGCACCCGAAACUGAGUAGCUAGAGUACCAAAGAGGGUCGCGGAAUUCCCGGUGUAGAGGUGAAAUUCGUAGAUAUCGGGAGGAACACCGGUGGCGAAGGCGGCGACCUGGGUGGAUACUGACGCUGAGGCGCGAAAGCGUGGGGAGCAAACAGG
rnacentral:rRNA from 1 species